rnacentral:tRNA from 1 species
GGCGAUGUAGCUCAGUUGGUUAGAGCAUACGGCUCAUAUCCGUAGAGUCCGGGGUUCGAUUCCCUGCAUCGCCACCA